UACGUAGGGGGCAAGCGUUAUCCGGAUUUACUGGGUGUAAAGGGGGCGCAGACGGCAAUGCAAGCCAGGAGUGAAAGCCCGGGGCCCAACCCCGGGACUGCUCUUGGAACUGCAUGGCUGGAGUACAGGAGGGGCAGGCGGAAUUCCUAGUGUAGCGGUGAAAUGCGUAGAUAUCAGGAGGAACACCGGUGGCGAAGGCGGCCUGCUGGACUGCAACUGACGUUGAGGCCCGAAAGCGUGGGGAGCAAACAGG
rnacentral:rRNA from 1 species